AGUGCUGUCAGAAAAAUUAUUAAUCGAUAAUUGUUUUUGUGGAUCUAUCGACCGAGUAACAACACUAUCGGAAUAACAUUUGUGUUCAAAAUGAAUUUUGAAGGUUUAUUUUUUAUUUUGGUCACGUUGUGUUUCGUGGAGGCUGUUAGUGAUAACGAAGUGACAGAAAUAGAGACGGCACGAGGCAAAGGGAAAUACGCUUUGCUCACCAACCUAGCAAUAUUGCUGGCGACCAAAUUGGGACUAUACAAGUUAGUUCUAGGCAUAGCCCUGGUAAUUGCCAGUGUGAAAAUUCUGGUCAUCAUGGCGUGGGCAUUGGCCAUUUCGAAACACGUGCCAAACGCAUGGCCGAGUCACAAUAAUGAUGAACAUUCACAUCACUAUUAUCACGAAAAAUUUGAGCAGCCCAUCCCUAGUUCUGUAACAGAUUGGAUGGCUGGUUUCCUUAAAUUUUGAAGUAGUACACUUCUUCUACGUAGUGGCGACUAAAGUUUUCGUCCUUAAAAUUAUAUACGGGAUAAUAUUCUACGUUUUGCUCACUAAAGGAUGGCAUUUCGUUCUUUGGUUCAUCCAUUACCUGAAAGAGAAGAAACAUGAG